CUUCCAUAUCUUGUGCCUGCACCUUUCAGUUGCAAAAAGAAAAGGAAGAAAGAAAAGAGAGAGAAUCAUGAAUUGCAUCAGAACAGAAAAAUCCAAAUGCUAUGCCCUUGGUAAAGAAAAAGAACUCUUGUACCACCACCAUCUGUCCAUAUUAGGGCAUAUACAACCUAAAGACUCUGGUUUGGAAGACAUGUACAACCUAAAACUUAGGGCACGUACAACCCAAAAAUUUGCAUCUCAUAGGUUUUUGUUUUUGGCCUUGGCUGGCCGUAUGUUAGGCGGGAGGCUUUUGCUGUUUCCCCAUGGCACGCAGCUGUGUUUGUUCAGAAAAAAAAAGCUUCACAACGCUCAAAAUGUCAAACACGUGCGGCAUAUAUGGAGGUAUUACUAACGGCAACGACUGCUAUGCAAGCAGUCUUUCUGUGCAAACGUACAAGCAAACCAUCUGAUCCAUUAGAUCGUGAUCCAACCGCAAGUCACAUUUAACACUUAAAUCCUUCCACCACCAGCUCAAUAAUCUUUAUAAAAAAAAACCCCUAACAAACCAUGGUUGUAUCUGUGGUUGGUGUGGUUGGAUCGUAAUCUAAUAAAUCAGAUGGUUUGCUUGCACGCUUGCACAGAAGCACUGUUUGCAUAGCAGUCGUUGCCAUUACUAACUUCAUAACGUCAAAUAUAUAUUACAUAGAGUAGGUACUAACAGAAAACUUCAUUUACUCCAGAAAGAACUUGAAUUCCAAGAAUAGAUUUCUAUUGGUUUUGUUUCACAUACCUCACUAGGUCUAUCAGGAUGC
rnacentral:misc_RNA from 1 species